rnacentral:rRNA from 1 species
CCUACGGGAGGCUGCAGUGAGGAAUAUUGGUCAAUGGACGCAAGUCUGAACCAGCCAUGCCGCGUGCAGGAAGACGGCUCUAUGAGUUGUAAACUGCUUUUGUACGAGGGAAAACGCAGAUACGCGUAUCUGUCUGAAAUUAUCGUACGACUAAGGAUCGGCCAACUCCGUGCCGGCAGCCGCGGUACUACGGAGGAUUCAAGCGUUACCCGGAUUUAUUGGGGUUAAAGGGUGCGUAGGCGGUCGGGUAAGUUAAGGGUGAAAUCCCGAGGCUCAACUUCGGAAUUGCCUCUGAUACUGGUCGGCUAGAGAGUAGUUGCGGUAGGCGGAAUGUAUGGUGUAGCGGUGAAAUGCGUAGAGAUCAUACAGAACACCGAUUGCGAAGGCAUCUAACGAAUCCGCGAUUGACGCUGAUGCACGAAAGCGUGGGUAUCAAACAGGAUUAGAUACCCCAGUAGUC